AAUGACAAUCAGGAAUUUUCUAGGACGAGAGACGGUUGUCCAACGACAAUAGGAAACAUGGUUACCAGCAAUUUCUAGAAUUAACCAACAUCUAGGGGUGGAAACGCAGUUGAAAAUAGGCCAGUAGACCGCGGGCAGAUGCUCUCGCCGAAGCUAUUUCUCCGUGCACGCAGGUGUUUCUACGACUGUCGUCCAACUUCCACCCUUCCAUCGGACAUGGACGCAUCCCCCUGCGUCGACUUUGUGAUUCCACCCCUGCUAGAUGCUAUAAUUUCUCUCGCGUAUCGGUUGAAAGGGGAGGCCGCGAGAUUAGAAUUGAAUUUGGACACUGGAAUUGGUUCUGGAACGUUCGUCAACGUUCAUUUUAUUGAUAAAAUAGUCAGUCUUUGAAAACCAAUUGUUCUGAAAAAUUUCUGAUAAAUUUUCCGAUUACAGAUUCGAAGAGGAAAGUGUUUGAUUUUAUUGUAGACAAGAAGAAGAAAAAAUAGGGAAUUUUUAUUUCUACCAAACCGUAGAACGAUGAAGAAUAAUAUUGCACGUUCUGUUCUCUGUGGAAAGAAUAGAGGAAGCGGGAUUCGCGAGAAGAAUUCUUUGACGGUGGACCAAUAGCCACCCCACGCAGAUGGUCUCCCCCGUAAAAAGCGGCUCUACCAUCGUGCUCCAACCGAGAUAUCGAUCCAAGUUCCUAUCUCACCCUCGAUCGAACCGCGUUCCGAAAAUUUCUUUCAUAGCGCGUAUAUCCUCCCUUCUAAUUACUAUUCUCCAGAAUUAUUAACGGAUUAAUGGUGGUGAUCGGGGCUUCCUUCCGCGACAAGUGGAGACAAGUCGUCGUGGAGGCGGCUCCAUUUGUUGCUCUUCUACCAGAGAUCCAGUAAAUCGACUAGCUUUUCUAUUCGGUUCGCGGCAUAUUACUGUUUGUUUAUUUUAAGUCCCAGGCGUAUCUUGUUUCGGAACCAGACCCAGCUGACCGCAACCUGGCAUCGUUUUCUCGUUUUAUUCUCUUGCGUUACGCGUCAACCUGGUGUCGGUGGCGCGAAUUAAGCGAGAAAAAUCGAUGCCGUGAAGCGGAUGCACGCAGUUUCCAGAACGAUCGGCUCGAUUUUUCUUUUUUCUUUUUUUUUUGGAAUUAAACAAACGUUCAACGUCCUCAAAUCUUCUCGAUCCAUUUACACGAGGCCAUCUUUGUCUUUUCAUGUGCAAGGUUGCAGAGAUUGUUUUUGUUCUACUGAAAAGUGAAGUUGCUGAGCGUGAAGCUGCUCGAAUUGGAAAGAAUCGGAGGAAUUUCUAUGGAUGUGUGCAACAGGUUGGGUUAAAAAUAAUUAAUCGAUGAAUAAUUGGAAUUAACGAGCGGAGAUGAUGAUCGAUGGUUUUGCAGAAACACGACACGACAAUAGAAUUUCAAAUGCAUCUGGACGCCUCACGUUGCUAGCCUUGCAUCGAAAUCCCCGAGCCACCCCCAACGCGAAGGAAAAAAGCGACGCUCGCGGAUAUCUUCCUAGCGAAAUAUUCGACGCGCAGAAUACAAUAUUCGAUAGAAAAAAAGGAUCGAACGUCUUUCAUAAUAAUCUCAGUGUGAACUCCAGAAGGGAAAGUAAAAGGGAAAAAAAGUAUAAAAGAAUCAUCGAACGUUGACAAACGUCGCAAAAUUAAGAAUCAAGAAAGAUCGCUCCUCCAACAUUUCCAACAAUCAAACGUGAUAACUCGUAAAUUUUACAGAUCCCAAAAACCUGAAACUGAAGUUUACCUGAAGUUACUGAAGCUGUUGGUAUCCCAGCAGGAUGCUGUUGUUCUUGUCAGACGCUGUUCAGAGUGCGAGGGAGAACCUGCCGCUAUCCACCACUGUAAACACCAGCACAUGCACUGAGGAGGUUCCAGCCCUCCGAGUAUAUAUCGAUAUCGAUAUCAAUUUGCAAAAUCGAAUGACGAACGCGGGAUCACCGGCGAUCGCGCACUGGAGGUAGCCCGCGGACGAGUUUGACGCCGACGCAUUUGACGGAGACCGUCGAUGCUAACCCCCUCCCCUCCGCCAGCUCCGUGGCAUGUGGAACUGUCAUAGAUCCCGGAAACGCUCGGCAGGGAAAGCGCGGAAGGGCGCGGAAAAAUUCGCGAAUGGAAGUGAAACGAAGAGUUGAAAGACAGGCGAGAAUGGGCGACGUUGGGAAGAGCCAUGAAAGUUCGCAACGAGCAUGGGACUCUGGACACGACUGAUCGAGUGACCGAGGGGGUAGCAUUGUAAGAAUACCCCUCCUCGUGCGCUUGUAUAGAAUUACGUGUGUUGAUCGCGCAUACAGCUCUCUCCGUCCCCUUGGUUCGCGGCAAAAGGGAGCACGAAGGGAGAAGAGUGGCUCUCCGUUCUCCCUUCCCCUCUGUUGCCUCUCCUACAGCCUUUCACCGUGCGUAUACCCACCCCUGCGUACCCCUGCCCCCCGGCCCCCCCUUCGAGGCGUCCUCUCUCGCGUGCGUGAAUCAUGCAUAUCGAUUUUCUUUCGUUAGUACGUCGUUCGGUAGUCGUUGCCCGGCUGUGUGUACGCCUCUGACGAUGCGUUUCCCCUCUUCUUUCGCGCGCGGCGAGAGAGAGAGCCUGGGGGCCGACUGCCGCUCUGGAACCCCUUCUGAAAAUGCGCUAGACGCGCCACCGCCGCCGAUUCUUUUCGCCACAAUGGAUAGAGGAGGUUCGUUUUUAGCGGCUUGGUGGCUGAACCCACGAUCUGGAUAUAGAAGUUCCGGGUUCGACGCUGGGGAAGGAUGUAGUUCUUAAUAGGGGGGGGGGUUAAGAGGUUCCUCCAACCUCGUCCGCGGGAAUAGUCUGUACCAAAAGUAGAAGGGACACUCGGAAAAAUUGGAAAUUCUUAGAGACAGUAGUGGCGAAGCUGUGAAAAAAAAGAGAGAGAGAGAAGCAAGCGUUGAGUGGAGAUUGAUCCAAGUCUAUUUUUAGAUAUUUAAGACUGUCGUCAUUGCAGAAAUUGAGAGGAAGAAUUUGAGGAAGAAAGCAAAGGAUGAAGAGGUCGAUGAAUGGAAAAAAAAUUUGUAGGGACUAAAAUGGCCCGGUCUGGCCUGACCCCCUUCCUCGGACGCUGAAAGCCCUUAGAGAGCCCCCCUUUUUUUUGCUCGAGCAAAAUGUCCCCGUAUGAGGCGAAACAACGAUGAGACGAUGCUCUUGUACCCGGUCCCCUCUCUUUUUUUUCUAAUAUACUCCCUCUAAUCGCGCAGCAGCAGGCCUUUGGUAAUAAAGUUUCUUUGUUUUUGCUCACUCCUUUCUCUCUUCUUGUCGCAAGUUCCCUCGCUAUUAUUAAUGACCACGGUCAAUCGAUUCGCAGUAAUUAACCAGUUUCAUUGUCGCCGGCUUUUGAAACACGAAUCCACUUAAUUUCUGUAAUUUCUUGGAAAAACUUGGAAACUUUCGGCUUUG